ensembl:snoRNA Small nucleolar RNA SNORA68
ACUGCACACAAACCCAAAGGUCAUUAUCAUAUUUGUUUGUGAUGGCCUAUGCUCUGUGUGCGUAAAGCAAAACGUCAGAACCUUGUCGCCUUUUAUAGGCUGCAUCUGUGCCAAUAGAAGUGAAUUCAAGGUCCUACAUUC